AACGAACGCUGGCGGCAGGCCUAACACAUGCAAGUCGAACGCUCUAGCAAUAGAGAGUGGCAGACGGGUGAGUAACGCGUGGGAACCUUCCCAAUGGAGCAGAAUAGCCCAGGGAACCUUGGGGUAAUACUGCAUAAGCCCUUCGGGGGAAAGAUUUAUCGCCAUUGGAUGGGCCCGCGUCGGAUUAGCUAGUUGGUGAGGUAAUGGCUCACCAAGGCAACGAUCCGUAGCUGGUUUGAGAGAAUGACCAGCCACACUGGGACUGAGACACGGCCCAGACUCCUACGGGAGGCAGCAGUGGGGAAUCUUGGACAAUGGGCGCAAGCCUGAUCCAGCCAUGCCGCGUGAGUGACGAAGGCCUUAGGGUUGUAAAGCUCUUUUGCCGGGGACGAUAAUGACGGUACCCGGAGAAUAAGUCCCGGCUAACUUCGUGCCAGCCGCCGCGGUAA
rnacentral:rRNA from 1 species